CACACACAGAUUGUGUUCUCCUAAAUUGUACAAGCAAAUAAUACAAAUUUGAACAGAAGGUUAGAAUAACAACCAGCUUGAAUCUAUUUCGAAUCAGCCGUCCACACUUGGCUAUUUUUGUAAAGCAACGUGUAACACGAGCUCACACCCGGCAAACACAUUCUCCUUCACACAGAGAAAGACAGAGACUCAAACCAAAAGACAACUCUCUGUCUUUCUGUGUCCCACAACAAAGAUUUCAGACGGGUUUUAACGCUUUGAUCUUUCACUGAGUCCAAGGGGAACGACGAAGGAGGUCAGCUAUGGAGUUUUUAUUUCAGGCUUCGGGUGUUGUGAUGUUCCCCUGCAGCUGUUGCGACUCUGUGUGUGUGUGUGAGAGCAUGUGGAUGAGCGUCAGCGUGUGGGGACUCUCCAGUACUUUCCAGCUUAAACCUUAAACCUUUGCCUGGUAAGUUACCAGCUCCGUCGUUUACUCCCAUUUCUCUGAAAACCUUCAAAGUGCUGCUCGGAGGAGAAGUGAGGCAGGAUUUCAAGUUACGGGACAAAGAGACAGAAACGUUGCGAUGACUCUCCAGUGGACCGCGGUGGCCUUCUUCCUGUAUGCAGAGAUCGUGUUCAACCUCAUCCUGUGCAUUCCCUUUAUAUCAGCACACAGAUGGCAUGUAGUUUUCAAAUGGAGAAUCUGGAGCUGGUUAUCUCCAUACUGGAACAAGUUCUUCUUUGCGAUGAUAAUGGCCCUUGUUGUUCUUUUUUGUGACGCCAUCCGAGACGUGCAGAAGUACUCUGGCCCUGAGCCUGUGCACGACGCUCAGGCCAGCCCGAACCUGUACGACCACGUCCACAUGAAGCUGUUCAGGGCCCAGAGGAACCUUUACAUCUGCGGCUUCUCUCUCUUUCUCUGGCUCGUCAUGCGCCGGAUUGUCACUCUGCUAAACCAGAUUGCUGAGACUUCGGUAAACACUGCUGGUCUUCAGGCACAGAUGGAUAAUGCAUUUAAAACAGCCGAGAGGCACCAGGAGGACAACCAGAUUCUCAAAACAGCUCUCCUGGAAAGAGAACAAUCUUCGCUGAAAACAAAUAAUCAAUUGAAGUUGGAGAUUGAAAAGCUUCAAAGUCAACUAAAAGUUGCUGGGGAAGCUGUGCGAAGGUCUGACGCUGAAGUUGAAGCCAUGAAAAAACAGGCCAAAGGUCUGGCGCAUGAAUAUGACAGACUACUAAGGGAGCAUCAUCUGCUGCAGAACCUCCAGAGUGCUGAGGAUAAAAAAGAUCAGUAAUCACGUGGCUGUGACGAGACCUGGGUUUACCUCCACUCCGCUCACAGAUGAGAACAGCAGACGCCAUAUGUCUCCGUCACAAAUCUCUUCAGGUUUAUUUUCUUCUGGAGGAGAAUAUUGUUUUAUAUACAUAACAUCUUAGAACCUAGAACCGGCUGGAAAAAUGUUUUGAGAGUUUAUUGCUGAUUAUGACUUUUUUAAUAACUUAUGAGACCCACAGAUUCAAGAUGUAUUACUUAAUAAAGACGUACAAUAAUGCCCCAAAACAGACCAAGAGACUCCAGACGUGAAGUGGAUUUAAGAGUAGAUACUUUGACUUUUACAAAAACACAUACAUUAGGGACAUUUUGUGAGAUUGUAACGUAGCAUCUCCUGUAUAAAGACAGAAGGACUCUCCUGCUAUUUUUAAACCAAUUCAAAAAUGUUUUUCCUGUAAUCGUUUAUUGCAGGUAACCAGGAAAAUCUGGAGUGGAGUUUCAGUGGAAGGAGCAGAUUUCUUUUAAAUAUAAAUAUAUCUAAAUAUAGCGUCGGCCACGUAUUAAGGGAUCGAUUAAUGUGACGUGAACUGGAUUUAAAGAAACAGUGUUUAAUAUCCAUUUCCUGUGUCAUUCCACUAAAGCACACACAACUGAAUUCAUGAAAUUAUGUUGAUUUUUGGGAUUGUCAAUGAUACCUGGUGGGUGUUCCAUGUCAUCAAAUGGUGACAUAUGCAAAACCUGUUUUUUACCCGUCGUAUUAGACUUGCAGGAAGAGGUGUUGACAAAACUCCAUGAUCCAAAAAACAGACAAUAAAAAAAUAAGAUCAGGGUGAAAUUUCAAAUUUAAAACAAAAUGAGGCACAGCGGUGGCUACAUGAGCUCUACACACAACACAGUACAACCAGAAAAAUGAGGUAGGUUUUGUGGCAAAGAGCCUCAUCGUUGCAUUAUUUGUUUAAAAGUAACACAUUAGUUAGAACGCUUAAACUGUUGCCCUUGCAACUUACAGUGUAAGGUAUGCAAGGCAUUGCUAGAAUCAACAUAUUCAGGACAUACAGCAAUUGUUUUCCCUUGCAGAGAACUUACAUUUAAACUUUGCCUACAGAGAUUUAAAAAUGUCGUCCCGACGUACGCCGAAGAAAUAAUGCGAGUAUACAUAUGAGCAAAUACAUGGACACGACGUUAACAAAGCAGCGUGUGACUACAGUUUUCUUAUUCUAUUAGCUGACAUUACAACCAGGCUGAAAAUAAAAGCAAAGAUUUCUACAGAAAAUAUAGCA